UCUUAGGACCUCCCGCUACAGGGGCGGCCGAUGGCAGAUUAGCUAGUUGGUGGGGUAAAGGCCUACCAAGGCGACGAUCUGUAGCUGGUCUGAGAGGACGACCAGCCACACUGGGACUGAGACACGGCCCAGACUCCUACGGGAGGCAGCAGUGGGGAAUUUUGGACAAUGGGCGAAAGCCUGAUCCAGCAAUGCCGCGUGUGUGAAGAAGGCCUUCGGGUUGUAAAGCACUUUUGUCCGGAAAGAAAACCUCCGCCCUAAUAUGGUGGGGGGAUGACGGUACCGGAAGAAUAAGCACCGGCUAACUACGUGCCAGCAGCCGCGGUAAUACGUAGGGUGCAAGCGUUAAUCGGAAUUACUGGGCGUAAAGCGUGCGCAGGCGGUCCGCUAAGACAGAUGUGAAAUCCCCGGGCUUAACCUGGGAACUGCAUUUGUGACUGGCGGGCUAGAGUAUGGCAGAGGGGGGUAGAAUUCCACGUGUAGCAGUGAAAUGCGUAGAGAUGUGGAGGAAUACCGAUGGCGAAGGCAGCCCCCUGGGCCAAUACUGACGCUCA
rnacentral:rRNA from 1 species